rnacentral:rRNA from 1 species
ACGUAGGGUGCAAGCGUUGUCCGGAUUUAUUGGGCGUAAAGAGCUCGUAGGCGGUUAGUCACGUCGGAUGUGAAAACUCAGUGCUUAACACUGAGCCUGCAUUCGAUACGGGCUGACUAGAGUAUUGUAGGGGAGACUGGAACUCCUGGUGUAGCGGUGAAAUGCGCAGAUAUCAGGAAGAACACCGGUGGCGAAGGCGGGUCUCUGGGCAAUUACUGACGCUGAGGAGCGAAAGCGUGGGGAGCAAACAGG